UACGUAGGGGGCAAGCGUUAUCCGGAUUUACUGGGUGUAAAGGGAGCGUAGGCGGUUUAGCAAGUCAGAAGUGAAAGCCCGCAGCUCAACUGGGGGACUGCUUUUGAAACUGUUAAACUAGAUUGCAGGAGAGGUAAGUGGAAUUCCUAGUGUAGCGGUGAAAUGCGUAGAUAUUAGGAGGAACACCAGUGGCGAAGGCGGCUUACUGGACUGUAAAUGACGCUGAGGCUCGAAAGCGUGGGGAGCAA
rnacentral:rRNA from 1 species